CUUAGAGUUUGAUCCUGGCUCAGGAUGAACGCUGGCGGUAUGCUUAACACAUGCAAGUCGAACGGUGUCUUCGGACAUAGUGGCGGACGGGUGAGUAACGCGUGAGAAUCUAGCUUCAGGUCUGGGACAACCACUGGAAACGGUGGCUAAUACCGGAUGUGCCGGAAGGUGAAAGGCUUGCUGCCUGAAGAUGAGCUCGCGUCCGAUUAGCUAGUAGGUGGGGUAAGAGCCUACCUAGGCGACGAUCGGUAGCUGGUCUGAGAGGAUGACCAGCCACACUGGGACUGAGACACGGCCCAGACUCCUACGGGAGGCAGCAGUGGGGAAUUUUCCGCAAUGGGCGAAAGCCUGACGGAGCAAUACCGCGUGAGGGAGGAAGGCUCUUGGGUUGUAAACCUCUUUUCUCAGGGAAGAACACAAUGACGGUACCUGAGGAAUCAGCAUCGGCUAACUCCGUGCCAGCAGCCGCGGUAAUACGGAGGAUGCAAGCGUUAUCCGGAAUGAUUGGGCGUAAAGCGUCCGCAGGUGGCUGUGUAAGUCUGCUGUCAAAGAGCAAAGCUCAACUUUGUAAAGGCAGUGGAAACUACACGGCUAGAGUGCGUUCGGGGCAGAGGGAAUUCCUGGUGUAGCGGUGAAAUGCGUAGAGAUCAGGAAGAACACCGGUGGCGAAGGCGCUCUGCUAGGCCGCAACUGACACUGAGGGACGAAAGCUAGGGGAGCGAAUGGGAUUAGAUACCCCAGUAGUCCUAGCUGUAAACGA
rnacentral:rRNA from 1 species